ACGGAAGGCAGCAGUGGGGAAUAUUGCACAAUGGGGGAAACCCUGAUGCAGCGACGCCGCGUGAGUGAAGAAGUAUUUCGGUAUGUAAAGCUCUAUCAGCAGGGAAGAAAAUGACGGUACCUGACUAAGAAGCCCCGGCUAACUACGUGCCAGCAGCCGCGGUAAUACGUAGGGGGCAAGCGUUAUCCGGAAUUACUGGGUGUAAAGGGUGUGUAGGCGGAGAAGCAAGUCAGGCGUGAAAUACACGGGCUCAACCCGUGAACUGCGCUUGAAACUGUUUCCCUUGAGAGUGGGAGAGGUAAACGGAAUUCCUGGUGUAGUAGUGAAAUGCGUAGAUAUCAGGAGGAACACCGGUGGCGAAGGCGGUUUACUGGACCACAACUGACGCUGAGACACGAAAGCGUGGGGAGCAAACAGGAUUAGAUACCCUGGUA
rnacentral:rRNA from 1 species